AGUGUUUUGUCCCCGUUCAACAUCUCCAUUGACGUUUUAUGACUUUUAAGCCUGGAACCAAGCCAACCAGCUCCAAGAUAAAUUGAGACCAUAAAACAUUUGAUUCGG